AUAUUAUUCGAUGACCGCCUUAUUAUCUCUAAAGAAAAGAGGGAAGGGGGAAUACAAACCUAUCAAUUAUCUUUUGUGGAUGUCAUGUGAAGUUCGAGCACACCAAGUAGAAAUCACAAUUGUAUAGGUACAUGUUAGAGAUAAAGGACAAUCGACUGGAUGAACAACUUCUUCAUAAAGAAGAUAAUGCCAUAGCCUAUUUAGUCUAUUUUAUAGUAAAAAUGGAAUCAAACAUCCGAUGAAGAUUUCAGAAUGUCUAAUUUUCUUGGGUG
rnacentral:lncRNA from 1 species